rnacentral:rRNA from 1 species
GACGACGCUGGUCGGCGUGGAUUAGGCAUGCAAGGUCGAACGGUAGGAUACCUUCGGGGUAUCUGAGAGUGGCGAACGGGUGAGUAACACGUAGGUGAUCUACCCUCAAGAUUGGGACAACCCAGGGAAACUUGGGCUAAUACCGGAUGAAAGCAGCAGUGAUGUUGUUUGAAAGGUGGCGUAAGCUGCCGUUUGGGGAUGAGCCUGCGCUCUAUUAGUUAGUUGGCGGGGUAAAGGCCCACCAAGGCGAUGAUAGAUAGGCGGCCUUAACGGGUGGUCGCCCACACUGGGAUUGAGAUACGGCCCAGACUCCUACGGGAGGCAGCAGUCGAGAAUAGUCUACAAUGGCCGAAAGGCUGAUAGUGCGACGCCGCGUGAACGAAGAAGCCCUUCGGGGUGUAAAGUUCUUUUAUAUGUGAGCAGUGCUUUCUAUGUGAACAGCAUGGGGAGAGAGAUAUUAGCAUAUGAAUAAGCAACGGCUAACUCCGUG